rnacentral:rRNA from 1 species
CGCGCUGAACUUAAGCAUCAGUCAAUAAGCGGAGUGAGAAGAACUAACAAGGAUUCCCUUAGUAACGGCGAGUGAAGAGGGAAGAGCUCAAAUUUUGAAUCUGGCGUCUGUGGAGUCCGAAUUGUACUCUACAGAAGUGAUUUCCGGGACAGACCGAGCACAAGUCUCCUGGAAUGGAGCGGCAUAGAGGGCGAGACAUCCCGCAUAUGGCACGUACUGCCGGUGCUCUGGGAUACACUCUCAACGAGCCGAGUUGCUCUGGGAAUGCAGGUAUGAAAGGGUGGUAAAUGCCAUCUAAAGCUAAAUAUUGGCGAGAGACCGAUAGCGAACAAGUACCGUGAGGGAAAGAUGAAAAGCACUUUGGAAAGAGAGUGAAACAGUACGUGAAAUUGUUGAAAGGGAAACGCUUGAAGUCAGUCGCGCCGUUCGGGAUUCAGCCUUGCUUCUGCUCGGUUUACUUCCUGUUGGGUGGGUCAACAUCAGUUUUGGUCGGAGGAGAAAGGCUUGGGGAAUGUGGCAGCAUUCGUGCUGUGUUAUAGCCCCUUGUUGUAUACUUCGGCUGGGACUGAGGACCGCAGCACGCCUUUGGCCGGGGUUCGCCCACGUACGUGCUUAGGAUGUUGGCAUAAUGGCUUUAAGCGACCCGUCGUGAAACACGG